UACGGAGGGUGCGAGCGUUGUCCGGAAUCAUUGGGCGUAAAGGGCGCGUAGGUGGCGGGAUAAGCGUGCGGUGAAAGCUUGGGGCUCAACCCCGAGUCUGCCGUGCGAACUGUUCUGCUUGAGCACUGUAGAGGCAGGCGGAAUUCCGGGUGUAGCGGUGGAAUGCGUAGAGAUCCGGAAGAACACCGGUGGCGAAGGCGGCCUGCUGGGACAUGGCUGACGCUGAGGCGCGACAGCGUGGGGAGCAAACAGG
rnacentral:rRNA from 1 species